UAAGUACUCCCUCCGUCCCAAAAUUCUUGUCUUAAAUUUGUCUAGAUACGGAUGUAUCAAGUCACAUUUUAGUAUUAGAUACAUCCGUAUCUAGACAAAUCUAAGACAAGAAUUUCAGGACGGAGGGAGUAGUAA
rnacentral:pre_miRNA from 1 species